rnacentral:rRNA from 1 species
AUUGAACGCUGGCGGCAGGCCUAACACAUGCAAGUCGAACGAGUGGCGGACGGGUGAGUAAUGUCUGGGAAACUGCCUGAAGGCGGGGGAUAACUACUGGAAACGGUAGCUAAUCCCGCAUACCAUCGGAUGUGCCCAGAUGGGAUUAGCUAGUAGGUGGGGGAACGGCUCACCUAGGCGAAGAUCCCUAGCUGGUCUGAGAGGAGGACCGGCCACACUGGAACUGAGACACGGUCCAGACUACGACGGGAGGCAGCAGGGGGGAAUAGUGCACAAUGGGCGCAAGCCUGAUGCAGCCAGGCCGCGUGUAUGAAGAAGGCCUUCGGGUUGUAAAGUACUUUCAGCGGGGAGGCGUUACCCGAAGAGGAAGCACCGGCUAACUCCGUGCCAGCAGCCGCGGUAAUUC